UGGGGGUUACUUUAAAAUUUAUAGUUAUAAUUUUGGUGUAAUGUGUUAUUCCUAUAUUUGUUAUUUGGGGUUAAUUUCUUUCUGUUAUUGAACCAAAGUUUUAUCUUUACUUGAAAUUUUAGUUUUCAUAUUUUUUUACAUGUUUGUAC
rnacentral:rRNA from 1 species